rnacentral:rRNA from 1 species
AUUGAACGCUGGCGGCAGGCCUAACACAUGCAAGUCGAGCGGACGAGUGGAGAUUGCUCCAUGAUUCAGCGGCGGACGGGUGAGUAAUGCCUAGGAAUCUGCCUGGUAGUGGGGGACAACGUUUCGAAAGGAACGCUAAUACCGCAUACGUCCUACGGGAGAAAGUGGGGGAUCUUCGGACCUCACACUAUCAGAUGAGCCUAGGUCGGAUUAGCUAGUUGGUGAGGUAAAGGCUCACCAAGGCGACGAUCCGUAACUGGUCUGAGAGGAUGAUCAGUCACACUGGAACUGAGACACGGUCCAGACUCCUACGGGAGGCAGCAGUGGGGAAUAUUGGACAAUGGGCGAAAGCCUGAUCCAGCCAUGCCGCGUGUGUGAAGAAGGUCUUCGGAUUGUAAAGCACUUUAAGUUGGGAGGAAGGGCAGUAAGUUAAUACCUUGCUGUUUUGACGUUACCAACAGAAUAAGCACCGGCUAACUUCGUGCCAGCAACCGCAGUAAGAC